CUUGUCUUUUCUUCUAUCUUAUCCAUUUCAUCAAAACAUUCAAUCAACACUGUUUUCAAUCCUCCCACGUCAUUAUUCACUGCUUCGAGUUUUUCUUCCAUAUCUGUUUUCACAUCUACCAUAUCCUUCUUCAGGGUUGUCUUCAUAUUCUCCAUUCUUUUCUCCAUAUAUCUGCCAACGUUUUUAUCAUUUCUUCGCAAGAGUGGCACUUCAACUCAAGUUCACUU